UUGUAAUGUGAGCAGCCUGGGUGCGUCAGUGCAGGUAAGUGACAUGAAAAUGUUCGCCGUGGAGGGUGAGAGCCCCGUCCAGCCUGCACAGGGCGUGCCGUACAGGGCUGUCUCGAAUGAGUCGGGUAGCUUGGGAAUGCUGCUCUAAGAUCGGUGGUAAAUUUCAUCGAAGGCUAAAUACUGCUGGAAAACCGAUAGUGAACAAGUACCGUGAGGGAAAGAUGAAAAGCACUUUGAAAAGAGGGUGAAAAGAAUCUGAAACCGUUGUGAGGGAAGCGGAUUGCGUUGCAGUAACUGUGGGCGCCGGUGUGUUCAGCCUGUUUCGGCGGGUGUAGUGGCACCGGUGGCUCCGUCUGCUGUGGGUUUGUGGUGGCUGAUUGCAAGGCUGCUGCGGACUGAGGGCUCCGUGCUGCUUUGCGGCGGCACGUGAGGACGGCAGGGUGACGACGCGAUACGACCCGUCUUGAAACACGGACCAAGGAGUCUAGCACAGCUGCGAGUCUGAGGGUGUCAAAGCCUGUGGGCGAAGUGAAAGCGAAAGAUGGCGGUAAUUCCAUAUUUUCAGAAUGACAAAGUUGUUGCAAUUUGGGG
rnacentral:rRNA from 1 species